CCUACGGGAGGCAGCAGUGGGGAAUUUUGCGCAAUGGGGGCAACCCUGACGCAGCAACGCCGCGUGAGUGAUGAAGGCCUUCGGGUCGUAAAGCUCUGUCAGAGGGGAAGAAAUGCAGGUGGUGAACAACCAUUCUGUUUAACGGUACCCUCAAAGGAAGCACCGGCUAACUCCGUGCCAGCAGCCGCGGUAAUACGGAGGGUGCGAGCGUUGUUCGGAAUUAUUGGGCGUAAAGCGCGUGUAGGCGGUUUGUUAAGUCGGAUGUGAAAGCCCCGGGCUCAACCUGGGAAGUGCAUUGGAUACUGGCAGACUUGAGUACGGGAGAGGAGAGUGGAAUUCCCAGUGUAGGAGUAAAAUUCGUAGAUAUCGGGAGGAACACCAGUGGCGAAGGCGGCUCUCUGGACCGAUACUGACACUGAGACGCGAAAGCGUGGGGAGCAAACAGGAUUAGAUCCCCUUGUAGU
rnacentral:rRNA from 1 species